rnacentral:lncRNA from 1 species
GGUCACUGAGGAAGAAUAUAAGUUAGCCUCGUAGUGACCAUGUGGAAGUCCUGACCUCGCUUGCAGACUUGACCUCUGGAUGUGACAAGAAAUGCUGAAUCAGCAAAUAGAGUGAACGAACAAUCAAGAUGAGAUGGCUGCUGUUGAUGUGAUUCUCUAGGUUACUACCUUUCUUCCUGCUGCAAAUGCUGCAUGACACUAAGCUUACAGGAUCUAGAAGCAGACUACAAAAAAAGAAGAAAUUCACUCUGAAGACUGAAGAAACACUAGGCUGAUCUUAAGUUUCCGAAAUACACUCUGUAACACUACACUGAUUCUUUGAAUCUCUUGCAAAAAGAAUCAAACCAGGACAAAGUUCAACAGAUAACUGGUCAAAUGCUUAGGAAUGUCUAUGUCCACCAAGAAUAUGGAACCAUUAAUGCCAUGCUUCAGGUAAACUUGUUACAAAAUUUAGUCUUCGAUAAAUUAGUCUCUGCAAAUGAUUUACCAUUGCUCUACAUUAGUAAGCUGAAUGUUUCACUAACAAAUAAGAAAAUAAAAUAUUUCAUGUUUUUACAGCUAACAACUUAGUAAUACCUACUCAGAGUACAUACUUCUUUAUGUACCCAUAUGAACAUACAAUGCUAUGGAAUGUAAAGAAGUAUGUAUUUUUGGUAGGCAAUAAACCACCAAGGGAGAAUUAAACUGAGCUAAAAGAAGCUCUUGCUUCUUUCUACGUGAAUGACCGUCAUAUGGUAAAUUAACCUAGUCAUGAACAGAUGACCUUUGGCAAUACUAACACCAAAAAAAAAAGGUUAUCUACUACUGAUAGAUAGAAACUAUCCCUAAGGUUUUUAUUUCAUGAAGGAAAAGAAGAUCCAGUGAAGUAGAUUUCAAUUAUCAUGAAACUCCUUUUAAAUCAUCUAAGUUUAAAACAGACAUCUUACAUUUUUAAAUUAGGCACUCUCAUUAUUAAAAUUUGACUGCAAAAGGGAAAAUAGUAUUACUAGCACAAAAGAAUGAGGAAUACACAUGACCUAUUUUCUGUCUCCACAAUUUAAUCUUAAGUAUAUCUCAUUAGUAGGGCUCACUGAUUUGUACAGAAAAAUAAGAUACUAAGAGCUGGCUUCAUUCACAUAAUAAGCUAUUUCUUCUCAUUUUGAUAAAUGUAUAAUUAAUAUUAGAGGAAUUUCUGACCAAAAGUUUUGUUGUUUUAAAAAGGCUUUCUUUUUUGACAGCUACAAACAUAGUGGCCCUUGUCCUUCCUUCUCAAGUUUAUCAGGGUCUUAACCCAAAUCUCUACUUUAAAUGUGAAGUUAAAACUUAAAAUUAAUUAAAAUGUAAGAUUUAAGCAUGAAAAAUGACAAAAUUCUGGUCCACAGCUGUAAGUCAGCAGGGUAUAUUGGUAACAGACUACCAAAUAUUUAAAAGAAAUUAAUUUAUCUGUAUUAUCUUCGAAUUUGCUUUCUCCAAAGAGGGCAUGUAAAAUGAAAGCACUAUAGUCAAGAACCAAUUUAUACAGAUCGAAGAACUGUUUUUAUUGUACUAUGCAAUUACAAUUCAAUUUCUCUAAACUUGAUCAAUCCAUUGUUUAGAAAUAUCAAAAUACUUUUAUUUCACACAGUUUGUAUAUUAUUUAUAAAAAAUUCCAAAUAAUGCUCUUAGCAAAAUUUAUAAGCAGUACCUGUUUUAAGCUACUAAUGACAAAGUUAGAAAAUAAGAGUAAUAUUCACAUAUUCUAACCAUUUCUUACUAAAAGUAUUAUUUCAACUGAAAUAUUUACACAUGUAUAAAAGCAUAAUAUUUUAAAUUUUUUGUAUCAGAAAUUGAAUGGAAAUGACUAAGUUUAACUAUAGUUCAUUUUCUGUUUAAUAAGACUAGUUAAUACAAAGAUGAUUUUCAUUUUAUCAGAUUAUAAAGAAUGAGAAUGACUUACACAUGGCAUCAUAUGUGUUACUGCAUGUUUACUGGAAAUUAUAAAAGGCACAUAAUUUUAAAAUUCUACACUUUCAAAGAAAUUAGUUCAAAGCUUAACUCACAUAAGCAUAGCCCUUCUGAUCAUCCACAAAACAGAAUGGCAAUGAUUCAUGUUCUAUUUGGUAAGUUUACCUGUAUAGGUCCUAAAUACCAAGAACUCAAAAUAUAUACCUCAAAAGUAGAGGUUCUUCUAUAAAAAUACUCAAAGCUUAUUACUCUACUUGUGUUUUAUAAUAAACAGUUAUAUUGGUCAUUCUAUAGGUAUACAAGUUGUUUAAUAAUCCUUCUCAAACAUCCUAGCAACUAAGACUCUCUUUGCUAUAAUAUUAAGACUAUAUAAAUAAUCCUUAGAAAAUAAAAUGACAGGCUAUUCAUUUUUAAAAGUAAAAUUAUAUGCUGAUUCUGGUGCUUGCGAGUUUAACUUAUCUAAGAGUAUUUUCAAUCACUCUAAAAUGUCACAUCUAUCACUUAGAUCAGCUGUUCAUUUUUAACUGAGUACAUAUUAAACUCUGGGCAUCUGCUGACACUGGUAUAACUCAAACAUUUCAACUGUCUCCCUGACAGGGAUAACAGAUGCUGACAUUAUCAAAUGCUGUACUAUUUUUUUCCCAUGGCCUCUCCUUGCCCCGAUAUGGCCAGUAUAUGAAACUGAACUGCCAUCCAAAAACACACUUGAGCAACUGGAUCUGCUAAACAGCUCCCAUAUAACUAGUAAAAAUAGAAGCCAGUAUUAUUGCUAUCUUCAGCACUUAAGUUUAGGCAGUUUAACACCUGUUUCACUUCUACUAGAAAAAAUGAUGAAAAAGAAUUGUAGUUAAUUUCACCAGCAGUAUGAUACUUACCAACCAACAGACGCAGAAUAUACUUAGUGUAAGAGUCAUUUGCAUACUGCCUGAAUUAGCGUUGACCUCUCAGUUUAAAAUAGUAACUGUAAAGAAUAUUUCUCUACUCUAUAUUUCUCUGAGAGCACUUAACUUUAUAGGCAAAUUAUAAUUUAUCAAACUUUUAUUUUAUGCAAGAAGACACCCCUCUCAAGACAUUGAAAUCAACAGUAAAACCACAUUAUAACAAAAAUUUACUCUGAUUUUUCAAGUAUUAUCCACACAAUAGAUUUUAAUACUUGUAUCCAUGGAUUGUAACUAACCACCAUGUAUUACUAAGGCGAUAAUGAGAAGUAACUUGGCAAUCUGUACCCAAAAUGACAAAGAACUUAGUCAAGGAAAUAGACCUUUAAAAGGGUUAAAUUACUAAGCUAUGAUUAGUAACACCACGUAAGCAAAAACAAAGAAAAACUGGCAUGCAUGGUAGUUCCUUUCGACACAAGUCCAAGCAAUACACUGAAUACACAUGUGAUCUAUUUAUAAAUCAAAGGGCAGAGGUACUUUCUUAAGGCCACUGAUAUUCCUACACCCAUCAACAAUUUGCUAUUAGCCCUCAACUAUAAUGCUAAAAGAAGCAGUGGCAGUAGAAGGGGGUGACUAACUGAACUCUUCCCCAACCUUUUAGCUUAACUAUUUAUCUGGUUUGCUGCCUAGAGAUAAAUGGAAAACAUUACUCUAAAAUACAUCAAGGUCUAUUUGUUCCUUUAAAUACUAUUGGUUUUGAAAUAGCUUAUUGUCUACAUGUAAGAAUUAAGCAAAGACUUCGGCUGUGGACAAGAUUAGAAAAAGAAAAAGAAGCAAAGAUGUUGAAAACAAAGACGUACAUUGAUCAUUCCUUAAUGCAGUAAUGUGUUAAAAGGAAAAGAUUUUUAAACCAUUAAGCGCAGGAAAACAGUAGGAAAGUGACUUCAAAAUGGAAAAUUUGACAUUCAGUGACUGAAGCAUUGGUAUGAUAAUUUCUAACACUUGUAGAAGGUCCAUGACUGUAAUUUUACCAAUGAAAAGCAUUUAACUGUUUUGGAUUCCAAACUAGCAGCACUACAAUGCUUUGCUAGAGCUGGUAAAAUGGAACCAAAUCGCCUCUUCAAUGGAUUUGGUCCCCUUCAACCAGCUGUAGCUAUGCAUUGAUUACUACGGGACAACCAACGUUUUCAUUUGUGAAUAUCAAUUACUUGCCAACUAAUUUCAACUUAUUUACAUUAUGCAGACUGUGAUUAUAAUCAAAUAACUUGUUACUGUUAAUUCUACCUGGAAAAGCUAGAAUGGUUAAAGAUGUUUAUAAAAAGCUUUAUGAAAAAUGUAUGGAUGACUUAAGGAUUUCAAAUAAAAAUUUUACUUA